rnacentral:rRNA from 1 species
UACCCGCUCCCGGAGUGGUGGAGACUUUUACUGGGCCUAAAGCGCCCGUAGCCGGCCCUGUGUGUCCCUCGUUAAAUCCGCAGGCUUAACCUGCGGGCUGCGGGGGAUACUGCAGGGCUUGGGGGUGGGAGAGGCGCUCGGUAUUCCCGGGGUAGGGGUAAAAUCCACUGAUCCCGGGAGGACCACCAGUGGCGAAGGCGGAGCGCCAGAACACGCCCGACGGUGAGGGGCGAAAGCUGGGGGAGCAAACGGG